GAUGAACGCUGGCGGCGUGCCUAAUACAUGCAAGUCGAGCGAACAGACGAGGAGCUUGCUCCUCUGACGUUAGCGGCGGACGGGUGAGUAACACGUGGAUAACCUACCUAUAAGACUGGGAUAACUUCGGGAAACCGGAGCUAAUACCGGAUAAUAUAUUGAACCGCAUGGUUCAAUAGUGAAAGACGGUUUUGCUGUCACUUACAGAUGGAUCCGCGCCGCAUUAGCUAGUUGGUAAGGUAACGGCUUACCAAGGCAACGAUGCGUAGCCGACCUGAGAGGGUGAUCGGCCACACUGGAACUGAGACACGGUCCAGACUCCUACGGGAGGCAGCAGUAGGGAAUCUUCCGCAAUGGGCGAAAGCCUGACGGAGCAACGCCGCGUGAGUGAUGAAGGUCUUCGGAUCGUAAAACUCGGUUAUUAGGGAAGAACAAAUGUGUAAGUAACUAUGCACGUCUUGACGGUACCUAAUCAGAAAGCCACGGCUAACUACGUG
rnacentral:rRNA from 1 species